UACGGGGGGAGCAAGCGUUGUUCGGAUUUAUUGGGCGUAAAGAGCGUGUAGGCGGCCAGGUAGGUCGGUUGUGAAAACUGGAGGCUCAACCUCCAGACGUCGACCGAAACCAUCUGGCUAGAGUCCGGAAGAGGAGAGUGGAAUUCCUGGUGUAGCGGUGAAAUGCGCAGAUAUCAGGAAGAACACCCGUGGCGAAAGCGGCUCUCUGGGACGGUACUGACGCUGAGACGCGAAAGCGUGGGGAGCGAACAGG
rnacentral:rRNA from 1 species